rnacentral:rRNA from 1 species
CGUGUAGGUGGUUUGGCAAGUCCUUUGUGAAAGCUCUCGGCUCAACCGGGAGAGGUCAAAGGAUACUACCAGACUUGAGGAUAGCAGAGGAAGAUGGAAUUCCCGGUGGAGCGGUGAAAUGCGUAGAUAUCGGGAGGAACACCAGUGGCGAAAGCGAUCUUCUGGGCUAUUCCUGACGCUGAGGCGCAAAAGCGUGGGGAGCAAACA